GACGGGGUGGCCGAGUGGUUAAGGUGAUGGACUGCUUAUACAUUGUGCUCUGCAGGCGUGGGUUCGAAUCCCAUCCUCGUCG